UGGGGAAUUUUGCGCAAUGGGGGAAACCCUGACGCAGCAACGCCGCGUGAGUGAUGAAGGCCUUCGGGUCGUAAAGCUCUGUCAGAGGGAAAGAAGUGCAGUGGUGCUAAUACCAUCAUUGCUUGACGGUACCCUCAAAGGAAGCACCGGCUAACUCCGUGCCAGCAGCCGCGGUAAUACGGAGGGUGCGAGCGUUGUUCGGAAUUAUUGGGCGUAAAGCGCGUGCAGGCGGUCUUUUAAGUCUGAUGUGAAAGCCCCGGGCUCAACCUGGGAAGUGCAUUGGAAACUGGGAGACUUGAAUACGGGAGAGGGUAGUGGAAUUCCUAGUGUAGGAGUGAAAUCCGUAGAUAUUAGGAGGAACACCGGUGGCGAAGGCGGCUACCUGGACCGAUAUUGACGCUGAGACGCGAAAGCGUGGGGAGCAAACA
rnacentral:rRNA from 2 species